GCCCUGGGCCACCCGAAGGAGGAGGUGGAGGUGGAGGAGGAGGUCAUGGAGGAGGGCUAGUGGAGCAGCUUAGUAAGACCAACCUGUACAUCAGAGGCCUGCCGCCUGCCACCACUGACCAGGACCUCAUCAAACUCUGCCAGCCAUAUGGGAAGAUUGUGUCAACAAAGGCCAUCCUGGACAAGAACACCAAUCAAUGCAAAGGCUAUGGCUUUGUGGACUUUGACAGCCCUGCAGCAGCCCAGAAGGCUGUGGCUUCACUCAAAGCCAGUGGAGUCCAGGCACAGAUGGCGAAG